GACGAACGCUGGCGGCGUGCUUAACACAUGCAAGUCGAGCGGAAAGGCCACUUCGGUGGUACUCGAGCGGCGAACGGGUGAGUAACACGUGAGUAAUCUGCCCUCCACUUUGGGAUAGCCACCGGAAACGGUGAUUAAUACCGGAUAUGACCUGUACCUGCAUGGGUGUGUGUGGAAAGUUUUUUCGGUGGGGGAUGUGCUCGCGGCCUAUCAGCUUGAUGGUGGGGUAAUGGCCUACCAUGGCUUCGACGGGUAGCCGGCCUGAGAGGGUGACCGGCCACACUGGGACUGAGACACGGCCCAGACUCCUACGGGAGGCAGCAGUGGGGAAUAUUGGACAAUGGGCGGAAGCCUGAUCCGGCAACGCCGCGUGAGGGAUGACGGCCUUCGGGUUGUAAACCUCCUUCAGCACAGACGAAGCGCAAGUGACGGUAUGUGCAGAAGAAGGACCGGCCAACUACGUGCCAGCAGCCGCGGUAACAC
rnacentral:rRNA from 1 species